rnacentral:rRNA from 1 species
GACGAACGCUGGCGGCGUGCUUAACACAUGCAAGUCGAACGAAGAGCGAUGGAAGCUUGCUUCUAUCAAUCUUAGUGGCGAACGGGUGAGUAACGCGUAAUCAACCUGCCCUUCAGAGGGGGACAACAGUUGGAAACGACUGCUAAUACCGCAUACGAUCUAAACUCGGCAUCGAGGAUAGAUGAAAGGUGGCCUCUACAUGUAAGCUAUCACUGAAGGAGGGGAUUGCGUCUGAUUAGCUAGUAGGAGGGGUAACGGCCCACCAAGGCGAUGAUCAGUAGCCGGUCUGAGAGGAUGAACGGCCACAUUGGGACUGAGACACGGCCCAGACUCCUACGGGAGGCAGCAGUGGGGAAUCUUCCGCAAUGGACGAAAGUCUGACGGAGCAACGCCGCGUGAGUGAUGACGGCCUUCGGGUUGUAAAGCUCUGUUAAUCGGGACGAAAGGCCUUCUUGCGAAUAGUGAGAAGGAUUGACGGUACCGGAAUAGAAAGCCACGGCUAACUACGUG